rnacentral:rRNA from 1 species
CCUACGGGCGGCUGCAGUGGGGAAUAUUGCACAAUGGGGGAAACCCUGAUGCAGCGACGCCGCGUGAGUGAAGAAGUCUCUCGGUACGUAAAGCUCUAUCAGCAGGGAAGAAAAUGACGGUACCUGACUACGCCGCCCCGGCUCACUACGUUCCAGCCGCCGCGGUAAUACGUAGGGGGCAAGCGUUAUCCGGAGUUACUGGGUGUAAAGGGAGCGUAGACGGCAGCACAAGUCUGGAGUGAAAUCCCGGGGCUUAACCCCGGAACUGCUUUGGAAACUGUGCGGCUGGAGUGCAGGAGGGGUAAGCGGAAUUCCUAGUGUAGCGGUGAAAUGCGUAGAUAUCACGAAGAACCCCGAUUGCGAAGGCAGCUUAAUAAACUGUGACUGACAUUGAUGCUCGAAAGUGUGGGUAUCAAACAGGAUUAGAUACCCCAGGUAGUC